CCAGGUCAGAAUUGAUAACAUGACCAGGUCAAGAUUGAUAACAUGACCAUCCUAUCCUGACCAAGUCAUGAUUCAAUGUUGACCAAGUCAAGAUUGGUAACAUGGCCAUCUUAUCCCGACCAAGUCAGGAUUGACAACAUAGCCAUCCUAUCUUGGCCAGGUCAUGAUUCAAUCUUGACUUUGUCAAGAUUGAUAACAUGGCUUAGUCAGGAUUGAAAACAUGACCAAGUCAAGAUUGAUCACAUGGCCAUCCUAUCUUGGUUAGGUCAGGAUUGAUAACAUGGCUAGGUCAGGAUUGAUAACAUGGCCAAGUCAAGAUUGACAAAAUGGCCAAGUCAAGAUUGAUAACAUGACCAUCCAAUCUUGGCCGGGUCAUGAUUCAAUAUGUUGACCGAGUCAGGAUUGAUAACAUGGCUCAGUCAAGAUUGAUAACAUGGCCAAGUCAAGAUUGAUAACACGACCAUCCAAUCUUGGCCGGGUCAUGAUUCAAUGUUGACCGAGUCAGGAUUGACAACAUGACCAUCUAUCUUGGUCGGUCAUGAUUGCAUUGCGCCAGGAUAUAUUACUUCCAAACGCAGUCAAGAUUUCUUCAAGCGUCAAUCCUGGCCAAAUGUCAAGCGUCAAUCUUGGCUUAGUCAUGAUGUGUUUUUCAAACGCAGGCAAGAUUUAUGGUCAUGAUUGCAUUGCGCCAGGAUGUAUGACUUCCAAGCGCUGUCAAGAUUGCAAAUGCAAGCGCUUCCCUAACAACGAAAACCCGCUAAAAAAAUGUGUAUUGGAUUUGCUCCUCAGCUGACAGUGACAAAUAGCUACUAGGUUGCAGUGACUAGGUUGUACUGAACCAUCAACAAAACUCCAGAUCCAUGGCGCAUACAGUUUUAAGAUUGGUUAUAGAUCUACAGUAGCUCAGAUUGACACAUGCUGUCAGGAGUCUAUGGCUAUGGGAACCAUUUUGCAGUAAUUAAGAAUGUGCAGGAGAAGGUGGUACACUUCAUUUCAAUCGCAUCUUUCGACAAGCGAAAGUCCAUGGCCUACCUGGAAAGAGUUUUUUGGCACCAAGACAACCCUUUUCCUAGGUCAAGGUCAAAGAUCAAAGGCCAGAACUUAUAUCAGCUGGAAAGACACCACAUUGGGUAUUGGAUUUGUAUUUUUAUAUACUCUUUUUAGCUCACCUGAGCCUAAGGCUCAAGUGAGCUUUUCUGAUCAAAAUUUGU